rnacentral:lncRNA from 1 species
CUUCUCAAAAGACCUCACAUUCCUCUGCCUUCAGAGCUGGAUUCAGGCUCCCUGGAUAAUCUGGAGACCUCAAAGUGGAGUCCACAGGCUGGCACCAUUGGCUUCUCAGGAUCACUUCAGUGCGGAAGAGUGAGGAGAGCUGUGGACAGGGUGCUGCAGCUCUAUCUGACAGAUUUUAUGCAAGAUGUGGAAUACUUUAAGUUCUUGAGGAAGAACUCUUGAUCUUGAGUCUUGAGGGGUCUAGGAGAGCCAUAGCAGAUGAUUUCCAUGUGAGGAGUUUGAUGAAGGAAGAUGAAGCAGUAUUGGGGAAGGGCAUUAUGGAGUAAAAGGUUCCCUGGCAUGGGAGCCCCUCACUUUCCCAUACCAACAGACCUCGACUUUCCUUUCAGCUGGAUUCAGAGCAUGGUCUCAUGCUGGUUGGAGGACCUGGAGACCCACAAGUGCAACCAGAGGACCGACACUAUUGACUUCCUAUGGCCCUGGGCCCAGACUGGCUUCAGUGCUGAGGACCGGGAAGAGCUGCAGACAAACUUACAGGUGUGAGAGCCCUAGAAUCCCAGGAAUUCAACACUAUUUAACACAAGAGUCUUAGGAUUUGCCUAAUGUGAGCAAUAGGUUCUGACAAGAUGGUGGGCUCCUCUAAGAAGCUUGUCUAAUGAAGUAAAAAGAAAAGAAAAUUGAGGUAAAUUUCAUGUUCCUAGCUUAAGCUUCUUUUUCCCAUAUCCAUACCAGCUAUUCUGCAGAGCAAUUUGGAAGUAUUACAGAAAGUAAAAAAAUAUAUAUAUAUAUAUACCUCAGAUCCUCCCCUUUAGGAACCCUUUUAUGCUCCAAGGACUGGCAUUGCAAGGCUGCCACACCUAGAAGUUUGCUACCAAUAGCCCCUCCUUCCCCUACACCUGUUGGAACUCCAGAACAAAGCAAAGUGGUUCCACUUCUUAGGACCUUGUUACUCCCCAUGCUAUGACCUGACAAGUCCAUGACUAUACAAAUCUGCUCCACUCCUCAGUGUUUGUCCUUGGCAUGUUCCGAUGCCCCUACACUUGCCUGUCAUGUUUGUAUUCAUAACCAAUAGAAACCCCUGAUUGUGUAUGGGUCAUGUAACCUAUGGAAACCCUCCCCCACUGAUGGUGUAUAAAAUAGCAAGAGCUCCUGGCCUCAGGGCCCAGCCCUUGGAGGAAUGAUCCUGGCUGAGUCUGCAUGCACAUGCAUAAUAAAUCUCCUUCUUUCCUUCCUUCCUUCUUUUGA